GCAGGCAGGAGUCUGCCUGUUUCUCCCUGGAGAGGAAAGAGGACCUUCCCUGGGGUUGACGUGGCUUGAGGAAUGGUCUACACCCAGAGCUCAGCCUCCGGGCCUGGGACAUCAGGGGCAGAGCCUGCGUGGACCUGUUACCAGGAAUAACUUUGCUCCCCAACAAAGGAGCCCUUGGGCCACAAAGGAGCUCCUGGCUGAUUCUGACCUUACCGGGAGGAGUGUCUGGCUCCUGUUAUUAGAGAGAUCCUUGUAAGUCUUUGGCUGCCAGGAAGCUCAGAGUUAAACUUCCUGUUGAAUCACAGCAACAGAACUCACCUGCCCCUUAUGGGCCUGGGGCUGCUACUGAUCCAGGGACCACACUUUGAGAACCCCUGCCCUAAGCUGACAGCCCAUUCUCUGUAUGUUCAGGAACGUUCUACUGGAUGCCAAGUCUGUGUUGCCCUCCCCAACUGUGAGAAGCUGAUGCACAGAACAGAAGAAAGCCUGGCCUUGUCCACGGAACCAUGCAUCCCACGGAGGAUGGGCCACCACAUUUGCCAAACGGCAAGGAUGACUAAGGAGUCAUGCCCAGCCACCCUGUGCCAUGAGGACCAGGGAGAAAAGGGCUGUGAAGGCGUUUUGAACAUGCUAGCAUGCUGUACAGAUGUGACUCACCAAUGGCACAGCAAACUCUCUUGUCUAUGUGGCCUAUAUUUAGGGUCACAACAGAGAGAUUUGCAGAUGGGGAAGCUGGUGACCACCAAAGGGAAGAAGUGCCAAAUGGUGGUUAGGAGGCUCCAGAGUUUGACACCUGGUCUGGACUCAAACUCCAGUGCUCCUAUGUCUUCUUGUUAUUCAGUUUCUCUGGGCCUCAGUUUCCUCAUCCAUAGAAUGGGGAUAAUAAUACCCACCUAACAUGGCUGUUGUGAGGAUUAAAUGAGCUAAUUCUUAUAAACUGCUGAGAACAAAUCUUGGUAUGGAGUAAGCACUCAAUGUUGACUAUUAUUGCAACCAUGACUCUCUUAGCUAUUAUUAUCAACAACAAUAUUAACUUUUGAGGGCUGAGUGGUCAUUUUGUGGCAUUUGCCCCUGGAUCUAGUCAUAAACCAAUUUUUUGACCUUUGUCCUUACCUUCAGGUAGGUAGGUCUGGCCAGGGCUUGGCUCCCCACCCCCCUUUCCUCUGACACUAAAAGGGAAUCUCCAGUUCUCCUGAGAUCCAGGCCAUGGAGCUGUGCUGGGGUUUCUGGGUUUGCUCUGGGGGAGCCGAGGUUGGCUUUGGGUCACGGUGCCUCAACUUACAGAUCUACCUGGUGGAAUGAGCAAGAGAUCUAGCACACUCUCUGGGGGCAGUUAUCAAGUGAUCAAGUGAGAUCAGGGAUAGUGAGCAGGGAAUCCAAGAGAAUUCUCAACCUUUUCAGCCCUGGUUAUCUCCAUUUGAUAUUUUUCAAUGCAGUUGCGAUUGAAUUAACUGGCCAAGCAACAACGUUGUGGUCUAAAUUAUAUACAUAAGAAAAAAGGGACUUACUUUUUGCAUGUUUGUACUUCCUCCUUGUUUCAAGACAGGAUGUAAGGUGGCUAUGUUGUAUUAGCAGAACCCAACAUG